AAAAUAGAUUUUAUCAUUACAACGCUUCAGCCAAAGGCCUUGUGGUCGAGCAGCAUAGCUGUGGCCCCUCAAAUGAGAGGUCUCAGGUUCGAACCCCAGUGUGAGGGCUUUGACUCUUUGUGCUUCAGUAG